GAAUCCAGGAACUAGGCCUGCAGGGACAGCAAGAGUUCCCCCUACACACAAAUAACCCGUAUGGGCUCUGCACUGCCAGUAAGUCACAGCCCAGCCCAGCCCAGCCCACCCCAGCAACCACCAUUUGGCCCAGAACCUUAUUUUAGGCUCUGGGAAUGGGCUGGGGGAGUGGAGUGGGCACAGCGGAGCCACCCACACCUCCGGCUCUUCAGGAGGGGCCCCAGGGCCUGGGGAGCUAGAGUCUAACUAGGGUCCCCUCCAGCCAAAAUCUCAGAGGAGUCAAGGAAGCGCUAGAGCCAGAAACACGGAAGCGGAGUCGAGGCUAGCCGAGGAGAGAUGGAAAAACUGACCAGAGACAUGGAAGGCUUUGCAAAGAAAAUUUAUUCGUGGUAAGCUACAAGAAAGGCAGGGGGUUCACAGGAAAGGAAGAGACCCCUCCCAGAGCUUGCCCUAGUACUGGUGGACCUGUGGGCUGUGGAAGGGUCCUGAUGAUUCAAGCUGCCUGAGUGCCAUCUCUGCUCUCCUACUUCUGCUUCUCCACCCUCAGCCUUCCCAGAGCCCUGAACCAGGCCAGCCUCUGGGAAACACUGGAGCAGACCUCGGGAGCAUCCUCGUCUUCCUGCCAAGGACCCCAAGGAACAGCCAAUCCUACAGGAAUGCAGAUGGCCAGCAGCCACGCACUCCUUCUGUAUGAGGCUCUGUAAACCUGUAAAGCCCUCCUCUCACCCCACUGUCUAGGUCAGGGCUGGGCACAACCCAGGGGAUGCCAUUGCAUGGAAGUGGGGGAGAAGUCCAGCUAAAAUACUAUUUGAGGCGACCCUGCAGGGGAGGGGUUAAUGUUUCCAUAUGUGGGCGCUGGCAAGCAGAGUCUGCAGCUUCAGGGAUCUGCUGCUAAGUGGCCAAACCAAACAGGAUCUCUUUGGGGCCAGAGUACAGAUUUUAGAGUCAAAGAGACUUGGUUUUUAUCUCAGUUCUGGCACUGACUUAGCUGUGGGACUUAGGACAUGUAACUUAACUUUUCUGGGCCUGUGUCUUCGCCUGUAAAAUGGGUGCACCAAUGACACCCACACCCCAUAAAAUUAUGAGGAGUCACUGCAGUAAAGCUGUAACCUGGCACCUGACUGCCUUUGUACUUGGUCACUGUUAAUGCUUUUUUCUCCCCAGUCCACUGGCCCCACAGCCAAUCUGAAGUGGCUGUAGCUGUGCCCAGGCCUCAGGGACCAGGUUUCUCAGGCCCCUCUGGACAGCCCCAUUUUGCCUCUUGACCUGCCCCCUGCCCCCGUUGCCUCCCAGGCCACUGAGGCCCAACUGAGAGCACUGCAGGCUGCUGCAGCCCCCGACCUAAGGCAGGUGUAGCCUGAUCCAGUGCUCCCUGGGAGGGUAGGGUGCAGCAUUACCUCCCAGAGACAUGUUCUGAGCCAUUUACUCUUUCAGGGAGGAAGUAGGGGUGGGCACCCCCACCUCUUCUGCUCUGUGACGUCUUUCUCUCCGGACACGUGCUGCUUAUGCAAAUAGGGCCAUUCCCGGCCUGGCCCCCACGCCCUAGCAGGGUGAUACUUUUGGGCUGUGGCCAGAUGGGGGCACUCCCCAGUUCACAUGUCCAACACCUGGCAUGACUCCAGGGUCUCCAAAGGCCUCCUCCCCCAAACAAGCAGGUCCCUCAGGGCAGAGGGGGAACGUCUGCCAGGAAGGAAACC